rnacentral:rRNA from 1 species
AACGAACGCUGGCGGCAUGCCUAACACAUGCAAGUCGAACGAGACCUUCGGGUCUAGUGGCGCACGGCUGGGGAACGAGUGGGAAUCUACACGUGGGUUCGGAAUAAUAGAUGGAAAGGACUGCUAAUACCGGUGGAUGACGUAACUGAAAAGAUUUAUCGCCAAAGGAUGGGGGCGCGUAGGUUUAGCUAGUUGGUGAGGUAAAGGCUGGCCAAGGCGAGGAUCCUUAGCUGGUCUGAGAGGAUGAUCAGCCACACUGGGACUGAGACACGGCCCAGACUGCUACGGGGAGCAGGAGUGGGGAAUAUUGGGCAAGGGGCGGAGGCCUGAUCCAGCAAUGCCGCGUGAGUGGUGAAGGGCUUAGGGUUGUAAAUCUCUUUUACCCGGGAUGAUAAUGACAGUACCGGGAGAAUAAGCUCCGGCUAACUCCGUG